rnacentral:rRNA from 1 species
AUUGAACGCUGGCGGCAUGCUUUACACAUGCAAGUCGAGCGGUAACAGGCCUUCGGGUGCUGACGAGUGGCGAACGGGUGAGUAAUGCAUCGGAACGUGCCCAGAGGUGGGGGAUAACGCAGCGAAAGCUGUGCUAAUACCGCAUGUGGUCUGAGGAUGAAAGCGGGGGACCAGGCAGCAAUGUUUGGCCUCGCGCCUUUGGAGCGGCCGAUGUCAGAUUAGGUAGUUGGUGGGGUAAAGGCCUACCAAGCCGACGAUCUGUAGCUGGUCUGAGAGGACGACCAGCCACACUGGGACUGAGACACGGCCCAGACUCCUACGGGAGGCAGCAGUGGGGAAUUUUGGACAAUGGGCGCAAGCCUGAUCCAGCAAUGCCGCGUGCGGGAAGAAGGCCUUCGGGUUGUAAACCGCUUUUGUACGGAACGAAAAGGCUCUGGCUAAUACCUGGGGCUGAUGACGGUACCGUAAGAAUAAGCACCGGCUAACUACGUG